UUGCGGCCAGGUCACGCUGAAACACUGGUUUCCAAACGAUCACUUAAGUUAAGCAAUGUUGAACCUGGUCAGUACCUAGAGGGGUGACUGUUUGGGAAUAUAAGGUGCUGUAAG